rnacentral:snoRNA from 1 species
ACGAUGACGAGUUAAGAUGCUUUCUUCUGAGCGUGAAUCGGGUGGUGAGCGACGAGCGAGAUUGGCUGCUCUCUGUCAUUGAUGAACGUUCCUGCUGUGCUUUGCAGUCUGGAAGAAGAAAGCAUGUUCAAAGU